GACAUUUAGUUUCAAAAGUACAUCAAGUCGAUUAUUAUCCAAGAUAUUCUAUCAGCACAACAAUUUUAAUAAAAAUGAAAAUGUUCUGUUUUUUAAUACCAUUUUUAUUCUUAAAUGUUUCGGCAGUUGAAGAAGCGGUAUAUAAGCAGAUAGUUUGCCGUACAAAUGAUGUCAUCGAACGUGCUUUUAAUAUGAAUGAUUUAAC